UCUCUCUCUCUCUCUCUCUCUCUCUCUCUCUCUCUCUCUCUCUCUCUCUCUCUCUCUCUCUCUCUCUCUCUCUCUCUCUCUCUCUCUCUCUCUCACACACACAACAAUCAGCCAGUGUUUAGGAUGCAAUUUGUAAGCCGUCUCUCCACCUGCUUCCACUUACUUCCACUGUGACCAAGCAGCGAAUCCCUCGGCUCCACCUCCGCCAUUAGGCCCAGCCAACCACUCAGCCAGCCAGCAGAGACUCAACCACCAGCUGAAGUAUAAAGUUCGUGAUUCUGCUGCAGCAAUUCUAGUUAAGAGGCUUAAGUCAAGCGGCAGUGUAGCACGAGCGGCAAGAUGAUUCCUUUACCCGGAACAGAGUGCACUCUCCCAGGUCAAACACGGGGAUCAGACGCAGCAACAACAAUGACUGGACCAGACGGGAGACUGUUGCUGUAGUCUGUGCUAAGCAGGAGACAAUCUGAAUGAAGAAGAGAUGAAGAAGGAAGGAGAGGAGAGAAGAAAAAGACAGAGUGAAGAUCUGAUCCACAUACGAACUCGUAAUAUUUAUUCUCUCUCUCUCUCUCUCUCUCUCUCUCUCUCUCUCUCUCUCUCUCUCUCUCUCUCUCUCUCUCUCUCUCCAGGCCACAGGGACCCACAGGAUGUCCCCCCACAGUAUGUUUACAAACCCACAGGCGACAAACCCUCCGGCUCCUGCAGAGAGAGUCUCUCUCUCUCUCUCUCUCUCUCUCUCUCUCUCUCUCUCUCUCUCUCUCUCUCU